rnacentral:rRNA from 1 species
CCUACGGGAGGCAGCAGUGGGGGAUAUUGCACAAUGGGGGGAACCCUGAUGCAGCGACGCCGCGUGGGUGAAGAAGCGCCUCGGCGCGUAAAGCCCUGUCAGCAGGGAAGAAAAUGACGGUACUUGAAGAAGAAGCCCCGGCUAACUACGUGCCAGCAGCCGCGGUAAUACGUCGGGGGCAAGGGUUAUCCGGAUUUACUGGGGGUAGAGGGGGCGCAGACGGCGGUGCAAGCCAGGAGUGAAAGCCCGGGGCCUAACCCCGGGACUGCUCUUGGAACUGCGUGGCUGGAGUGCAGGAGGGGCAGGCGGAAUGCCUGGUGUAGCGGUGAAAUGCGUAGAUAUCAGGAGGAACACCGGUGGCGAAGGCGGCCUGCUGGACUGCAACUGACGUUGAGGCCCGAAAGCGUGGGGAGCAAACAGGAUUAGAUACCCGUGUAGUC